rnacentral:rRNA from 1 species
ACCCUAUUAUAAAAAAUGUAAAUAUUAGUAUUAGGGUAGUAUUAGUUAUGUUCUUGAAAUUUAAAAAAUUUGGCGGUAUUUUAGUCUUUUCAGAGGAACCUGUCCUGUAAUCGAUAAUCCACGAUAAAUUUUACUUAAUUUAUAAGUUUAUAUAUCGUCGUAAUUUGAAUAUCUUAAAAGAGAAAAAAUAUUCAAAAAUUAAAAUUUAUAAAAAAAAUCAGAUCAAGGUGUAGCGUAUAAUUAAGUAGUGAUGGGUUACAAUAAAGUUAUUUAAAUGGUUAUAAUAAUUAAAAUUAUUAUAUAAAGUGGAUUUGAAAGUAAUAUAUUUAAUUUUAAAUAUAUGAUUAAAGCUCUAAAAUAUG